rnacentral:rRNA from 1 species
CCCUUAGAUGUUCUGGGCCGCACGCGCGCUACACUGAUGCAUUCAACGAGUCUAAAACCUGCUCUGAUAGGGGUGGGUAAUCUUUUGAAUGUGCAUCGUGAUUGGGAUAGAUGAUUGCAAUUUUUCAUCUUCAAAGAGGAAUGCCUAGUAAACGCAAGUCAUCAGCUUGCAUUGAUUACGUCCCUGCCCUUUGUACACACCGCCCGUCGCUCCUACCGAUUGAAUGAUCCGAUGAAUAUCAUGGAUUGAGGAUGCAAGUAGGUUCGCCUAUCUUCAUCUUCGAGAAGUGAAGUAAAUCUUAUCAUUUAGAGGAAGGAGAAGUCGUAACA